rnacentral:pre_miRNA from 1 species
CAUGUACUUCCUCUGUCCGAAAAUACUUGUCAAAGAAAUGGAUAUAUCUAGACGUAUUUUAGUUAUAUAUACAUCCAUUUUUAUUCAUUUAUGCGACAAGUAUUUCCGGAUGGGGGAUGACAAG